CCGUUGUUUAUUCUCAAAUCAAUGACAAAUCUACAAGGUCCUAAGAUCAUGAUGCAUGAAGCUACCAAGAAAACAAAGAAAAUGUUAAAAUUAGAAACCAACGGCGGACGUAGAAAAAGACGCCAAAAACCAACCGAUAACUGAUGACACUAGAACCGAGACAAACAUGUGGUUUACGUACAGGAACGGAUGGCAUGCAUGACUACGAGUCGGUGACGAAAAGCGGUAAACCGAAAAUCUACUUCCCAGAUUUAAAAAUCUAAAUUCUAAAAUCAACGAGUAAUAAAACCACUUACGCUCAAUUAUGCUAAUUCUACUUUUUAAUUACGUUGAUCACAAUAGAAAAUAAUUAGAUUUGGAGCGAAGCAAUUUGUGUAAUGACCGCAUAAUGUAGGUACCCACCUUAACGUGCUGCAUUAGAUAUUCAAGUAGU